UACGGAGGAGGCAAGCGUUAUCCGGAAUUAUUGGGCGUAAAGCGUCCGUAGGUGGUUUUGUCAGUCUGCUGUCAAAGCACAGGGCUUAACCCUGUAAAGGCAGUGGAAACUACAAGACUAGAGUGCAGUAGGGGCAGGGGGAAUUCCCAGUGUAGCGGUGAAAUGCGUAGAGAUUGGGAAGAACACCCGUGGCGAAAGCGCUCUGCUGGACUGCAACUGACAUUGAGGGACGAAAGCUAGGGGAGCGAAUGGG
rnacentral:rRNA from 1 species